rnacentral:lncRNA from 1 species
UUACAGCGGCAAAAUAAGGGUGAUAACGAUCCUUACUGCAUUCUUUCUUUGUCUCUACACCUCCUGAUUCAACCUCUUUUUUGAGCUGACCCCUGCCAGAGGGUUUCUUUGCUACAGUGCCAGAGGGAUUGUUUACUUCGGAUGGCGGAGCCUUUCCCUGAACCUUCUCCUCUAUCAGCCAUUUCUCAAUCUUCUCCAACCUCUCAGCAAUUGCUUUCUGCCCCAAGGCAAGCCCUUGCACAACACUGAACAACUCCCUCA